rnacentral:rRNA from 1 species
CACGGGGGGAGCAAGCGUUGUUCGGAAUUACUGGGCGUAAAGGGUGUCUAGGCGGUCGUGUAAGUGAGAUGUGAAAUGCCCCGGCUCACCCGGGGACCUGCAUUUCAUACUGCUCGGCUCGAGUACGGGAGAGGAUGAGGGAAUUCCUGGUGUAGCGGUGAAAUGCGUAGAUAUCAGGAGGAACACCGGUGGCGAAAGCGCUCAUCUGGACCGAUACUGACGCUGAAGCACGAAAGCUAGGGGAGCAAACGGG